UCCGUAGGUGAACCUGCGGAGGGAUCAUUACAAGAACGCCCGGGCUUCGGCCUGGUUAUUCAUAACCCUUUGUUGUCCGACUCUGUUGCCUCCGGGGCGACCCUGCCUUCGGGCGGGGGCUCCGGGUGGACACUUCAAACUCUUGCGUAACUUUGCAGUCUGAGUAAACUUAAUUAAUAAAUUAAAACUUUUAACAACGGAUCUCUUGGUUCUGGCAUCGAUGAAGAACGCAGCGAAAUGCGAUAAGUAAUGUGAAUUGCAGAAUUCAGUGAAUCAUCGAAUCUUUGAACGCACAUUGCGCCCCCUGGUAUUCCGGGGGGCAUGCCUGUUCGAGCGUCAUUUCACCACUCAAGCCUCGCUUGGUAUUGGGCAACGCGGUCCGCCGCGUGCCUCAAAUCGUCCGGCUGGGUCUUCUGUCCCCUAAGCGUGUGGAAACUAUUCGCUAAAGGGUGUUCGGGAGGCUACGCCGUAAACAACCCCAUUUCUAAGGUUGACCUCGGAUCAGGUAAGGAUACCGGCUGAACUUAAGCAUAUCAAUAAGCGGAGGA
rnacentral:rRNA from 1 species